rnacentral:rRNA from 1 species
UACAGAGACUGCAAGCGUUAUUCGGAUUCACUGGGCGUAAAGGGUGCGCAGGCGGCCGAGUGUGUUAGAUGUGAAAUCCCGGGGCUCAACCCCGGAACUGCGUCUAAAACUACUUGGCUAGAGUAUUGGAGAGGGUAGCGGAAUUCACGGUGUAGCAGUGAAAUGCGUAGAUAUCGUGAGGAACACCAGAGGCGAAGGCGGCUACCUGGACAAUUACUGACGCUCAGGCACGAAAGCGUGGGGAGCAAAA